rfam:Cajanus cajan Scaffold135370_29, whole genome shotgun sequence.
AGUGCAAUGAUGAGAUGAAACACCUAAGUGUUUAUGGGCAGUGGACGUUACCCUAAGGUUUCGCCGUGAGCCUGUAUUUUAAUGACUUCUCCUUCCACUGAGCACU